GGGACCGUGGCCGAGAGGCUAGGCGCUGGAUUGUCGAUCCAGAAGACGCGGGUUCGAAUCCCGUCGUGUCCC
rnacentral:tRNA from 1 species